rnacentral:rRNA from 1 species
UGGGGAAUAUUGGGCAAUGGAGGAAACUCUGACCCAGCAACGCCGCGUGAGGGAAGAAGGCCUUCGGGUUGUAAACCUCUGUCCCAUGGGACGAAGAAGUGACGGUACCAUGGGAGGAAGCUCCGGCUAACUACGUGCCAGCAGCCGCGGUAAUACGUAGGGAGCGAGCGUUGUCCGGAAUUACUGGGCGUAAAGGGUGCGCAGGCGGCUCUUCAAGUCAGAUGUGAAAGACCGGGGCUCAACUCCGGGGGUGCAUUUGAAACUGGAGAGCUAGAGGAUGGCAGAGGUAAGUGGAAUUCCUAGUGUAGCGGUGGAAUGCGUAGAUAUUAGGAGGAACACCAGUGGCGAAGGCGGCUUACUGGGCCAUUACUGACGCUGAGGCACGAAAGCGUGGGGAGCAAACAGG